rnacentral:rRNA from 1 species
AAAUUGAAGAGUUUGAUCAUGGCUCAGAUUGAACGCUGGCGGCAGGCCUAACACAUGCAAGUCGAACGGUAACAGAAAGCAGCUUGCUGCUUUGCUGACGAGUGGCGGACGGGUGAGUAAUGUCUGGGAAACUGCCUGAUGGAGGGGGAUAACUACUGGAAACGGUAGCUAAUACCGCAUAACGUCGCAAGACCAAAGAGGGGGACCUUCGGGCCUCUUGCCAUCGGAUGUGCCCAGAUGGGAUUAGCUAGUAGGUGGGGUAAAGGCUCACCUAGGCGACGAUCCCUAGCUGGUCUGAGAGGAUGACCAGCCACACUGGAACUGAGACACGGUCCAGACUCCUACGGGAGGCAGCAGUGGGGAAUAUUGCACAAUGGGCGCAAGCCUGAUGCAGCCAUGCCGCGUGUAUGAAGAAGGCCUUCGGGUUGUAAAGUACUUUCAGCGGGGAGGAAGGGAGUAAAGUUAAUACCUUUGCUCAUUGACGUUACCCGCAGAAGAAGCACCGGCUAACUCCGUGCCAGCAGCCGCGGUAAUACGGAGGGUGCAAGCGUUAAUCGGAAUUACUGGGCGUAAAGCGCACGCAGGCGGUUUGUUAAGUCAGAUGUGAAAUCCCCGGGCUCAACCUGGGAACUGCAUCUGAUACUGGCAAGCUUGAGUCUCGUAGAGGGGGGUAGAAUUCCAGGUGUAGCGGUGAAAUGCGUAGAGAUCUGGAGGAAUACCGGUGGCGAAGGCGGCCCCCUGGACGAAGACUGACGCUCAGGUGCGAAAGCGUGGGGAGCAAACAGGAUUAGAUACCCUGGUAGUCCACGCCGUAAACGAUGUCGACUUGGAGGUUGUGCCCUUGAGGCGUGGCUUCCGGAGCUAACGCGUUAAGUCGACCGCCUGGGGAGUACGGCCGCAAGGUUAAAACUCAAAUGAAUUGACGGGGGCCCGCACAAGCGGUGGAGCAUGUGGUUUAAUUCGAUGCAACGCGAAGAACCUUACCUGGUCUUGACAUCCACGGAAGUUUUCAGAGAUGAGAAUGUGCCUUCGGGAACCGUGAGACAGGUGCUGCAUGGCUGUCGUCAGCUCGUGUUGUGAAAUGUUGGGUUAAGUCCCGCAACGAGCGCAACCCUUAUCCUUUGUUGCCAGCGGUCCGGCCGGGAACUCAAAGGAGACUGCCAGUGAUAAACCGGAGGAAGGUGGGGAUGACGUCAAGUCAUCAUGGCCCUUACGACCAGGGCUACACACGUGCUACAAUGGCGCAUACAAAGAGAAGCGACCUCGCGAGAGCAAGCGGACCUCAUAAAGUGCGUCGUAGUCCGGAUUGGAGUCUGCAACUCGACUCCAUGAAGUCGGAAUCGCUAGUAAUCGUGGAUCAGAAUGCCACGGUGAAUACGUUCCCGGGCCUUGUACACACCGCCCGUCACACCAUGGGAGUGGGUUGCAAAAGAAGUAGGUAGCUUAACCUUCGGGAGGGCGCUUACCACUUUGUGAUUCAUGACUGGGGUGAAGUCGUAACAAGGUAACCGUAGGGGAACCUGCGGUUGGAUCACCUCCUUACCUUAAAGAAGC